rnacentral:rRNA from 1 species
GACGAGCGCUGGCGGCGUGCUUAACACAUGCAAGUCGAACGGUGAAGGGGUCUGCUUUUGUGGGCCCUGGAUGAGUGGCGAACGGGUGAGUAACACGUGAGUAACCUGUCCCCUUCUUCUGGAUAACCGCAUGAAAGUGUGGCUAAUACGGGAUAUUCUGGGUCUGUCGCAUGAUGGGUCUGGGAAAGAUUGCGCCUUUGGGUGUUUUUGGUGGGGGAUGGGCUCGCGGCCUAUCAGCUUGUUGGUGGGGUGAUGGCCUACCAAGGCGGUGACGGGUAGCCGGCCUGAGAGGGUGGACGGUCACACUGGGACUGAGACACGGCCCAGACUCCUACGGGAGGCAGCAGUGGGGAAUAUUGCACAAUGGGCGCAAGCCUGAUGCAGCGACGCCGCGUGAGGGAUGGAGGCCUUCGGGUUGUAAACCUCUUUCGCCAGUGAAGCAGGCCUGCUCCUUGUGGGUGGGUUGACGGUAGCUGGAUAAGAAGCGCCGGCUAACUACGUG